GAGCUUGCCGCGAACGGUUCGUGGUGAACCGUGGCGAGCCGUUCGCGGGAAGUUCGCGAACGGUUUGCGACAUCACUAUUCAGUAUAUAAAGAUCUAUUAAUACCCAUUUCCAUUUUGAUUUGAUAAAUAAGUUGUUCUUUGACUGAAAGCCAACAUGGCACAGUGUCUGACUUCCAAUUCCUGACUAUUAGCAUUUUAGCUGCGGACAAGAUGUGAGUAACAAUCAGUAAAUACGGGCCACAAAACAUCAAUUUUGUGUAUAGAUUGCUUCACAGACAAAUGUAAAAAAAUAAAAUUGCGUAAAUUUAUACAAUUUUUAUUUUGCACUUAUAACGUGUAAAUAAAAAUGGUCAAACACCUUGCUUAUAGGUAUUUGUUAAGAUCCAAAAUGCAUUGCUAGCAGUGCAGCUUACUGAAAAUGGCAAGUUAAUACAAUGUCUGCAUUGACGUAUAAUGUCCAC